CUAAAGGUAUUUUUUAAUACCAUCCUCUAUAACAAAGAAAUAUCUU
rfam:Dictyostelium lacteum strain TK F4PJNLW01B0TO9, whole genome shotgun sequence.